UCCCUGUGGGACAGCAUCUCCUGCAGCUACAGCCUUUCCCCCCUUUCUGCAUGAACAAAUCCUCCCGUCCUUUCCAGGUCGGGGCUGAAGUCUACUGGUCCCACUCAGCACAGGGUGCUAAGACUUAGUCUCGGGCAGUGCUUUUCUUGGGUAACUGUCUUCUCGAGCUGUGGCAAAGAAGCUUUAUCAGCUGACUCCUUGGGCAGCGGGAGAGUGAAGUCUAAUUGUGACUGUGAAGGACAGGGCCUUUGGCACAAUUUCCUGACAGGAACAAGAAGGCAUUCAACUGGCUGGUGUUAGUUCUCGGGGUUACACUCGUCAAACGUUCUGCGAGACGGUGAGCAGGUCACUCUGGCUCUAAGAAAAUGAACCGUUUCACAGUAUCCUGGAGUCAAAGCAAGGUCAGCUCUGGAUCUGCCAGCUGGAAGAAG